UACGUAGGGUGCAAGCGUUAAUCGGAAUUACUGGGCGUAAAGCGUGCGCAGGCGGUGAUGUAAGACAGAUGUGAAAUCUCCCGGCUCAACUGGGAGGGUGCGCCGAAGACUGGAAGGCUUGAGUAUGGGAGAGGUAAGCGGAAUUCCUGGUGUAGCGGUGAAAUGCGUAGAUAUCAGGAGGAACACCUGCGGUGUAGACGGCUUACUGGACCAUAACUGACGCUGAGGCACGAAAGCGUGGGUAGCAAACAGG
rnacentral:rRNA from 1 species